CGAAAUAUGAUUGUUUACAUUAAAAUGCAAAAGUUGAUGAAAAAGUAUGAUAAGGUGAAAAAAGUGACAUUUUAUGUCUAGACAGUCACUUUUCAUCAAAAGUGCAAUAACAAAACUAGUUCCCAUUCAUCCUGUGUCUCCAUGCACACUUGUGCUCUUUAUCCGCUCAAAACGCUAUACAGCGAACGAGAAGGCGCUAGGAGCAAAGGAAAGUGGUUUUUCUAACAAACUCGUAUAAUCAGUUGAACGACCUACUCCAAUUUGAUUCUUUUCACAUAUUUAGACAUAAUAUAGUACUAUGAAAUGUUUCUGACCCAAAAUAUUACGAAAUAUGAUUGUUUACAUUAAAAUGUAAAAGUUGAUGAAAACGUAUGAUAAGGUGAAAAAAGUGACAUUUUAUGUCUAGAAAGUCAGUUUUCAUCAAAAGUACAAUAACAAAACUAGUUCCCAUUCAUCCUGUGUCCCCUUACACACUUGUGCUCUUUAUCCGCUCAAAACGCUAUACAGCGAACGAGAAGGCGCUAGGAGCAAAGGAAAGUGGUUUUUCUAACAACCUCGUAUAAUCAGUUGCCCGACCUACUCCAAUUUGAUUCUUUUCACAUAUUUAGACAUAAUAUAGUACUAUGAAAUGUUUCUGACACAAAAUAUUACGAUAUAUGAUAGUUUACAUUAAAUGUAAAAGUUGAUGAAAAAGUAUGAUAAGGUGAAAAAAGUGACAUUUUAUGUCUAGAAAGUCACUUUUCAUCAAAAGUACAAUAACAAAACUAGUUCCCAUUCAUCCUGUGUCCCCUUACACACUUGUGCUCUUUAUCCGCUCAAAACGCUAUACAGCGAACGAGAAGGCGCUAGGAGCAAAGGAAAGUGGUUUUUCGAACAAACUCAUAUAAUCAGUUGCACGACCUACUCCAAUUUGAUUCUUUUCACAUAUUUAGACAUAGUAUAGUACUAUGAAAUGUUUCUGACCUAAAAUAUUACGAAAUAUGAUUGUUUACAUUAAAAUGUAAAAGUUGAUGUUACAGUGUAAUAAGGUGAAAAAAGUGACAUUUUAUGUCUAGAAAGUCACUUUACAUCAAAAGUACAAUAACAAAACUAUUUCCCAUUCAUCCUGUGUGUCCAUGCACACUGGUGCUCUUUGUGUGUGUGUGUAUGCAGGUUCUACAAAAACAGAAAGCUCCAAAUUG
ensembl:lncRNA